GGAGAUCUGAUCCGAUCUCGGUCAGUUCGAUCAAGAAUUGCAAAAUAAAGAAUGCAAGAGAGGUCAUCCAUCCAAUCCAAUCAUCCAUGUGUUGGCUCUGUAUGAUCCUGUCUCUCCCAUCUGCUGGUGGUGUUCAUAUUAUUGUUGCUCCAGUCGAUUGUGUCCAUGUGUAUAUGGUGACUUUUAAUCAUCGCUUAAUUUAGUUGUGGUCAAUUAAUUGGUCAUGGAUUAUGAUGCAUGAUUCAAAACCUGAAUUUAUCUCAUGUGUGAAUAAAAUGGAGAAGGGAACUAUUCUUCUUCACUUGUUGGU
rnacentral:sRNA from 1 species